rnacentral:rRNA from 1 species
AGUGAACGCUGGCGGUAGGCCUAACACAUGCAAGUCGAACGGCAGCACAGUAAGAGCUUGCUCUUACGGGUGGCGAGUGGCGUACGGGUGAGGAAUACAUCGGAAUCUACUUUUUCGUGGGGGAUAACGUAGGGAAACUUACGCUAAUACCGCAUACGACCUACGGGUGAAAGCAGGGGAUCUUCGGACCUUGCGCGAUUGAAUGAGCCGAUGUCGGAUUAGCUAGUUGGCGGGGUAAAGGCCCACCAAGGCGACGAUCCGUAGCUGGUCUGAGAGGAUGGUCAGCCACACUGGAACUGAGACACGGUCCAGACUCCUACGGGAGGCAGCAGUGGGGAAUAUUGGACAAUGGGCGCAAGCCUGAUCCAGCCAUACCGCGUGGGUGAAGAAGGCCUUCGGGUUGUAAAGCCCUUUUGUUGGGAAAGAAAAGCAGCAGGUUAAUACCCCGCUGUUCUGACGGUACCCAAAGAAUAAGCACCGGCUAACUUCGUG